CCUACGGGAGGCAGCAGUGGGGAAUAUUGCACAAUGGGGGAAACCCUGAUGCAGCAACGCCGCGUGAAGGAUGACGGUUUUCGGAUUGUAAACUUCUUUUCUUAGUGACGAAGACAGUGACGGUAGCUAAGGAAUAAGCAUCGGCUAACUACGUGCCAGCAGCCGCGGUAAUACGUAGGAUGCAAGCGUUAUCCGGAUUUACUGGGUGUAAAGGGAGCGCAGGCGGGACUGCAAGUUGGAUGUGAAAUACCGUGGCUUAACCACGGAACUGCAUCCAAAACUGUAGUUCUUGAGUGAAGUAGAGGCAAGCGGAAUUCCGAGUGUAGCGGUGAAAUGCGUAGAUAUUCGGAGGAACACCAGUGGCGAAGGCGGCUUGCUGGGCUUUAACUGACGCUGAGGCUCGAAAGUGUGGGGAGCAAACAGGAUUAGAUACCCUGGUAGUCCACACUGUAAACGAUGAUAGCUAGGUGUGGGGGGUCUGACCCCUUCCGUGCCGGAGUUAACGCAAUAAGCUAUCCACCUGGGGAGUACGACCGCAAGGUUGAAACUCAAAGGAAUUGACGGGGGCCCGCACAAGCAGUGGAGUAUGUGGUUUAAUUCGAAGCAACGCGAAGAACCUUACCAGGUCUUGACAUCCAACUAACGAAGUAGAGAUACAUUAGGUGCCCUUCGGGGAAAGUUGAGACAGGUGGUGCAUGGUUGUCGUCAGCUCGUGUCGUGAGAUGUUGGGUUAAGUCCCGCAACGAGCGCAACCCCUGCCAUUAGUUGCUACGCAAGAGCACUCUAAUGGGACCGCUACCGACAAGGUGGAGGAAGGUGGGGACGACGUCAAAUCAUCAUGCCCCUUAUGACCUGGGCUACACACGUAAUACAAUGGCCGUUAACAGAGGGAAGCAAAGCGGUGACGCAGAGCAAAACCCUAAAAACGGUCCCAGUUCGGACUGUAGGCUGCAACCCGCCUACACGAAGUUGGAAUUGCUAGUAAUCGCGGAUCAGCAUGCCGCGGUGAAUACGUUCCCGGGCCUUGUACACACCGCCCGUCACACCAUGGGAGUUUGUAACACCCGAAGUCAGUGACCCAACCGCAAGGAGGGAGCUGCCGAAGGUGGGAUAAGCGACUGGGGUGAAGUCGUAACAAGGUAGCCGUAGGAGAACCUGCGGCUG
rnacentral:rRNA from 1 species